rnacentral:lncRNA from 1 species
GUUUUGGCCUGCUUUAAUCUGGAACAUUCCCACAAUUGUUUUUUGGCAUGUAUAAUGUCUACAUUUUUUAAUUGUACAGUUCCUUCCUUUUCUUUUUUUCUUUUUAAAUAGAACAUUCCCCAUUUUGGGUUUAUGAAAUGUUUCCUUAUGGUUAGAUUCAAGAUAUGUAUUCUCAGUUGGGGUGUUACAUGAGUGAUGUAUCCUCAAAGUAUCAUCUCAGAAGGCUCACAUCAUCCAGCUACUUUCCAUUAAUGGUGUUAAAUUUUCUUUUUCUUCCUCUUCUUCCUCCUCCUCCUCUUCUUUUUUUCUGUUGGAUUGUGGUGGUGGUGGUGCUGGUGAUGCUGGUGGGUGAACCCAGGGUCUCAUGCAUGCUGGACAAAUGCUCUAUCACUGAGCUACACACGCAGCCCAAUGAUGUUAAUUUUGAUAAUCUAGUUAGGCUAUAUAGUUUCUCCACUAUUAAGUAUUUCUCCCUCUUGCAAGCAAAAAAUGUGGUGAAACCCUUUAACACUAUGCAAAUAGUUUGCUCAUUAAAAAUUUGCCCUAGAUUUAGUAUCCAUGGGUAAUUCUUUGCUCACUGAAUGUUUGGUAUGAUGGUUGUUUAGACUUUGUUUGCCUUUCCCUCUAUUCCACCAAAGACUGGAAUUGUGUAGUAAAAUACUGUGUUACAUCUUGGGUUCUUUCUUUAGUUAUUGGUAUUAAUUUGAAAUCGGGUUGAGUUUAUUUGUUUCAUUUUUGCUUUCAGCUUUAGCUGUCCUUUUCCAUCCUUUUGGAUUUAAUUUAGUUUUUUGAAUGUGUAGAAUAUUAACAUGCUUCCAAAACCUAAACUAAAAGAACAGAAAUGAAUUUCUUAC